CAAGCGUUGUUCGGAAUUAUUGGGCGUAAAGGGUGCGUAGGCGGUUUGACAAGUCUGAUGUGAAAUCUAUGGGCUCAACCCAUAGUCUGCAUUAGAAACUGUCGGGCUUGAGUAUGGGAGAGGUGAGUGGAAUUUCCGGUGUAGCGGUGAAAUGCGUAGAUAUCGGGAGGAACACCUGUGGCGAAAGCGGCUCACUGGACCACAACUGACGCUGAUGCACGAAAGCUAGGGGAGCAAACAGG
rnacentral:rRNA from 1 species